CAGCAGCCGCGGGAAUACGAAGGGUGCAAGCGUUAAUCGGAAUUACUGGGCGCAAAGCGUGCGUAGGCGGUUUGUUAAGUCUGCUGUGAAAUCCCCGGGCUCAACCUGGGAAUGGCAAUGGAUACUGGCAAGCUAGAGUGUGUCAGAGGAUGGUGGAAUUCCCGGUGUAGCGGUGAAAUGCGUAGAGAUCGGGAGGAACAUCAGUGGCGAAGGCGGCCAUCUGGGACAACACUGACGCUGAGGCACGAAAGCGUGGGGAGCAAACAGGAUUAGAUACCCCGGUAGUCCCUGUCUCUUAUAC
rnacentral:rRNA from 1 species